CCGCAUAAAGGAAAGGGAGAGCAGAGACAUUAGGGUUUUAGCAUUUCCUCAAUUGUUAGGGCUUGGAUCACCCGGUCAGGGCUGUUGUAUAAAGAAAGAGAGGGAAAAUGGUUGCAGACAAGGGGAAGAAGAUGAAGGUAGCAGAGAAAGGGGAGGAGGACGACGACAAUUACCAAAUCGACGAAGCGCUUGUCCUUUCAAUCGAAAAGCUCCAGGAGAUCCAGGACGAUCUCGAAAAGAUCAAUGAAGAGGCUAGUGAUAAGGUCUUGGAAGUAGAGCAGAAGUA
rnacentral:misc_RNA from 1 species